GAUGAACGCUGGCGGCGUGCCUAAUACAUGCAAGUCGAGCGAACGGACGAGAAGCUUGCUUCUCUGAUGUUAGCGGCGGACGGGUGAGUAACACGUGGAUAACCUACCUAUAAGACUGGGAUAACUUCGGGAAACCGGAGCUAAUACCGGAUAAUAUUUUGAACCGCAUGGUUCAAAAGUGAAAGACGGUCUUGCUGUCACUUAUAGAUGGAUCCGCGCUGCAUUAGCUAGUUGGUAAGGUAACGGCUUACCAAGGCAACGAUGCAUAGCCGACCUGAGAGGGUGAUCGGCCACACUGGAACUGAGACACGGUCCAGACUCCUACGGGAGGCAGCAGUAGGGAAUCUUCCGCAAUGGGCGAAAGCCUGACGGAGCAACGCCGCGUGAGUGAUGAAGGUCUUCGGAUCGUAAAACUCUGUUAUUAGGGAAGAACAUAUGUGUAAGUAACUGUGCACAUCUUGACGGUACCUAAUCAGAAAGCCACGGCUAACUACGUGCCAGCAGCCGCGGUAAUACGUAGGUGGCAAGCGUUAUCCGGAAUUAUUGGGCGUAAAGCGCGCGUAGGCGGUUUUUUAAGUCUGAUGCGAAAGCCCACGGCUCAACCGUGGAGGGUCAUUGGAAACUGGAAAACUUGAGUGCAGAAGAGGAAAGUGGAAUUCCAUGUGUAGCGGUGAAAUGCGCAGAGAUAUGGAGGAACACCAGUGGCGAAGGCGACUUUCUGGUCUGUAACUGACGCUGAUGUGCGAAAGCGUGGGGAUCAAACAGGAUUAGAUACCCUGGUAGUCCACGCCGUAAACGAUGAGUGCUAAGUGUUAGGGGGUUUCCGCCCCUUAGUGCUGCAGCUAACGCAUUAAGCACUCCGCCUGGGGAGUACGACCGCAAGGUUGAAACUCAAAGGAAUUGACGGGGACCCGCACAAGCGGUGGAGCAUGUGGUUUAAUUCGAAGCAACGCGAAGAACCUUACCAAAUCUUGACAUCCUUUGACAACUCUAGAGAUAGAGCCUUCCCCUUCGGGGGACAAAGUGACAGGUGGUGCAUGGUUGUCGUCAGCUCGUGUCGUGAGAUGUUGGGUUAAGUCCCGCAACGAGCGCAACCCUUAAGCUUAGUUGCCAUCAUUAAGUUGGGCACUCUAAGUUGACUGCCGGUGACAAACCGGAGGAAGGUGGGGAUGACGUCAAAUCAUCAUGCCCCUUAUGAUUUGGGCUACACACGUGCUACAAUGGACAAUACAAAGGGCAGCGAAACCGCGAGGUCAAGCAAAUCCCAUAAAGUUGUUCUCAGUUCGGAUUGUAGUCUGCAACUCGACUACAUGAAGCUGGAAUCGCUAGUAAUCGUAGAUCAGCAUGCUACGGUGAAUACGUUCCCGGGUCU
rnacentral:rRNA from 1 species